rnacentral:rRNA from 1 species
AACGAACGCUGGCGGCAUGCCUAACACAUGCAAGUCGAACGAGACCUUCGGGUCUAGUGGCGCACGGGUGCGUAACGCGUGGGAACCUGCCCUUAGGUUCGGAAUAACUCCCCGAAAGGGGUGCUAAUACCGGAUAAUGUCUUCGGACCAAAGAUUUAUCGCCUUUGGAUGGGCCCGCGUUGGAUUAGCUAGUUGGUAGGGUAAAAGCCUACCAAGGCGACGAUCCAUAGCUGGUCUGAGAGGAUGAUCAGCCACACUGGGACUGGGACACGGCCCAGACUCCUACGGGAGGCAGCAGUGGGGAAUAUUGGACAAUGGGCGAAAGCAUGAUCCAGCAAUGCCGCGUGAGUGAUGAAGGCCUUAGGGUUGUAAAGCUCUUUUACCCGGGAUGAUAAUGACAGUACCGGGAGAAUAAGCUCCGGCUAACUCCGUG